UACGGAGGGUGCGAGCGUUGUCCGGAAUCACUGGGCGUAAAGGGCGCGUAGGCGGUCUGCUAAGUUGGAUGUGAAAACUCUGGGCUUAACCCAGAGCCUGCAUUCAAUACUGACAGGCUAGAGUUCUGGAGGGGAUAGCGGAAUUCCUGGUGUAGCGGUGAAAUGCGUAGAUAUCAGGAGGAACACCGGUGGCGAAGGCGGCUAUCUGGACAGAAACUGACGCUGAGGCGCGAAAGCUAGGGGAGCAAACAGG
rnacentral:rRNA from 1 species